AAGUCGUAACAAGGUUUCCGUAGGUGAACCUGCGGAAGGAUCAUUACGAAUAGCGGGAGCCGGACCACGGCUCUCGCCCCGAGCAAUCGGGUUACCCUGCCUUUUGAGCACCAUUUGUUUCCUCGGCGGGCCUGCCCGCCACUGGGGACCCACAAAACCUUUUGUAAUGAGCAGUAACUGUCAGUAAUAAAUUAUCACAACUUUCAACAAUGGAUCUCUUGGCUCUA
rnacentral:misc_RNA from 1 species